rnacentral:rRNA from 1 species
UACGUAGGGGGCAAGCGUUGUCCGGAUUUAUUGGGCGUAAAGAGCGUGUAGGCGGCUAGGUAGGUCCGUUGUGAAAACUCGAGGCUCAACCUCGAGACGCCGGUGGAAACCAUCUAGCUAGAGUCCGGAAGAGGAGAGUGGAAUUCCUGGUGUAGCGGUGAAAUGCGUAGAUAUCAGGAGGAACACCUGUGGCGAAAGCGGCUCACUGGACCAUAACUGACGCUGAUGCACGAAAGCUAGGGGAGCAAACAGG